rnacentral:rRNA from 1 species
AGUGAACGCUGGCGGUAGGCCUAACACAUGCAAGUCGAACGGCAGCACAGGAGAGCUUGCUCUCUGGGUGGCGAGUGGCGGACGGGUGAGGAAUACAUCGGAAUCUACUUUUUCGUGGGGGAUAACGUGGGGAAACUUACGCUAAUACCGCAUACGACCUACGGGUGAAAGCAGGGGAUCUUCGGACCUUGCGCGAUUGAAUGAGCCGAUGUCGGAUUAGCUAGUUGGCGGGGUAAAGGCCCACCAAGGCGACGAACCGUAGCUGGUCUGGGAGGAUGAUCAGCCACCCUGGACCUGGGACACGGUCCAGACUCCUCCGGGAGGCAGCAGUGGGGAAUAUUGGACAAUGGGCGCAAGCCUGAUCCAGCCAUACCGCGUGGGUGAAGAAGGCCUUCGGGUUGUAAAGCCCUUUUGUUGGGAAAGAAAUCCAGCUGGUUAAUACCUGGUUGGGAUGACGGUACCCAAAGAAUAAGCACCGGCUAACUUCGUGCCAGCCGCCGCGGUAA